AUGUUAAUAACCCCCCUUCCCUCCAGACUCUGGCUGUGUGUCCAACUCUAACAGCAGUGUGGACUGGCUGCAGAAGAACCUGGGGCGGUUUUCAGUCCUGGUGUCCCUCAGCGACCUGUUGAAACUCAACACAGACUUCUCUCCUUUGUCAUCCCUGGAGGUUCUCUCUCCAAAGCAGACAGCAGAGCUGGUGGUGUUGCCACUUCCUGGUCUUCCAGGGAAAGAUGUCAUCAUCAACACAGUGUUUGACUACCUGACUGAGUCACCAAAGGAGAGGAGACUCCCUGAGUUCCUGCAACAACUUGUCAGCCUGACCAAACAGGAAAAUAUCCCUUGUGCCUCCUACAAGAUCAUUUUCGCCAGACUGGACCAGGCCGUACCCACUGUUACCAUGGAGAUAGAGUCCGCCCUCACCUCCAGCAAGACGGCUUC